UUGCAUGUCACAUCUUUAGGGCAAAUAAAAAAAAAAAGUGGCAUGUCACAUGAUUUAUGCAGCCACCAUUCAUGUGAUAUUGCCGAUUGUCACGGGCAAAAACCAUCUCAAACAUCUUGGAGAGGGCUAGAAAGGGGCUUGAGUCGCUUGACCACCAGAGUUCGCCUACCGUUCUUCUGCUUCUGCAUCAGAAAACAUAUCCCCGUCGAUGCGGCAGUAAGGGGGUCGUCGAUAAAGAAAGAAGUGGUUUAAGAGAACACAGAACGGAACCCAUUCACGGGGCUCGCAGGUCUUCACAGGGGGAAAAGUGAAGGGGAGAGUUCCUAUGGCGGCUUCUGCAACCACCACUCCCAGGACUAUUCAUCUAUUCGCUCUCCGUCAUGCCUUCCUCUUCUUCUUCCUCUCAAUUGCAACAGCCGCUGGCAAUUCCGCCUCCAAAACCCCCUCCUGCCACAACAUAACCGAGAGGAUAAAAACUAUGAAGAGGAAUUAUUUCCAGUUUCUGGAAAUCCUGAAAGCUAAAAAUGGAUACUUGAGGGAAAAUUAUGGGAAAAGAGCGACUCGUAAAGUCAUCCAAGCAUAAUAAAGCAAUCAAACUCAGUAAUUUACAAACAGUUAGUGCACCAAGCACAUUGCACACGAUAUCUCAUGACCCAUUCCAGCGUGUAGUCACUGGUCUGGAUGUUUACUGACUUCUUUGAACACCAUCCGAUGUCUGAUUUUUGUUUUCCUUCUUUUUCAUGUCAUCGUCAAUCGUAAAGUUGAUACUUGCGCCAUUUAGUGGCAGUUUGGGUUGUGGAAACUACAUGUAAUAUUGGAAUUUCUGGCUGGAGUUCUGUUUUUACACAAAUUGAGUGUGGUAAUUAAUCUGACAUAAAAGACCAUUUCCUUCCAAGGUGGUACAAACAAUAUUUGUGAUCUUGUCAAGUACGACCUAAAGGAACAUAGGAAGCCUUUGGAUUGAUUGAUCUUAAUCAAACCCUGCCAGUUAUGCUGAAACAUCUACUGUUAACCCCAAGGGGGUAGCGCAUUUGGCAAGGACCGACACAUCAUAAUUAAGAGGUAUUAGGAAAAUCUUGUUGUAACCAAGGUUUGGUCGAAAAAAAACUUCGUAACCAUACUCUUUUGCUCUUUUAGUAUGACGCUUUUUU